CCCGCAAGGGAAAGGCUGAGUGGCAAACGGGUGAGUAACACGUGGGUGACCUGCCUUCGAGUGGGGGAUAACGUUCCGAAAGGGACGCUAAUACCGCAUAACAUCCUGUCUUUUAAGAGAUGGACAUCAAAGCCUGGGACCGCAAGGCCAGGCGCUUGAAGAGGGGCCCGCGCCUGAUUAGCUAGUUGGUGGGGUAAUGGCUCACCAAGGCAACGAUCAGUAUCCGGCCUGAGAGGGCGGACGGACACACUGGGACUGAGACACGGCCCAGACUCCUACGGGAGGCAGCAGUGGGGAAUUGUUCGCAAUGGGCGCAAGCCUGACGACGCAACGCCGCGUGGAGGAUGAAGAUCUUCGGGUCGUAAACUCCUUUCGAUCGAGACGAAUGGCUUUCGGGUUAACAGCCCGGAAGAAUGACGGUACCGAGAGAAGAAGCCCCGGCUAACUCCGUGCCAGCAGCCGCGGUAAUACGGGGGGGGCAAGCGUUGUUCGGAAUUACUGGGCGUAAAGGGCUCGUAGGUGGCCAACUAAGUCAAUCGUGAAAUCCCUCGGCUUAACCGGGGAACUGCGCUUGAUACUGGAUGGCUUGAGUUUGGGAGAGGGAUGCGGAAUUCCAGGUGUAGCGGUGAAAUGCGUAGAUAUCUGGAGGAACACCGGUGGCGAAGGCGGCAUCCUGGACCAAUACUGACGCUGAGGAGCGAAGGCUAGGGGAGCAAACGGGAUUAGAUACCCCGGUAGUCCUAGCCCUAAACGAUGAAUGCU
rnacentral:rRNA from 1 species